rnacentral:rRNA from 1 species
GACAGAGGGUGCAAACGUUGUUCGGAAUUACUGGGCGUAAAGCGCGUGUAGGCGGCUAUGUAAGUCGGGCGUGAAAUCCCACGGCUCAACCGUGGAAGUGCACUCGAAACUGCGAAGCUAGAGUCCUGGAGAGGAAGGUGGAAUGCUUGGUGUAGAGGUGAAAUUCGUAGAUAUCAAGCGGAACACCGGUGGCGAAGGCGGCCUUCUGGACAGUGACUGACGCUGAGACGCGAAAGCGUGGGGAGCAAACAGG